UACGGAGGAUGCAAGCGUUAUCCGGAAUGAUUGGGCGUAAAGCGUCCGCAGGUGGCUGUGUAAGUCUGCUGUUAAAGAGUGAGGCUCAACCUCAUAAGAGCAGUGGAAACUACAUAGCUAGAGUACGUUCGGGGCAGAGGGAAUUCCUGGUGUAGCGGUGAAAUGCGUAGAGAUCAGGAAGAACACCGGUGGCGAAAGCGCUCUGCUAGGCCGUAACUGACACUGAGGGACGAAAGCUAGGGGAGCGAAUGGG
rnacentral:rRNA from 1 species